GUCUUUACUUUGGCAGGAUAUAGUAUAAUAUUGGAAUGACAGAAUAGAUUAGCAUGGCAACUAUGCAAGGAUGACAUGAAAAUUCAUGAAACAUUCCAUAUUUUU
rnacentral:snRNA from 1 species